rnacentral:lncRNA from 10 species
GGGCCUCAGUGCUUCAGUUCGUGGCCUGGCAUUUUGUCUAUAAGGAAGGCCUUUGAAGGGAAAUCAAGUAGGAAGAGGAUGAUAGCUGGCUCACAUGUCCUUGCCACAUGGGAGGAAGAGUGUCUUCAUCUCUGCAUCCCUAGUGCAACAGAGCAUGACAAAAAUUCAACAAAUAUUUAUUGAAGAGUCUUGAUGUCUUUUGGGAAAGGAACUCUAUGGUUACCUUUACUCUAAGUUAAAAACAACAACAACAACAACAAAAACACAAAACCCUGAGGCUCAGAAGAUAAAUAUUUGCUGAAGAUCACUGUGCUUAUUAGAUGGGUGUUACUGAUUCUUACCUCAGAGAAGAGAAUGUCAUGGAGACAAAAUGACCUGCUUAGAGUUCUGCACCCCCCAGCAUGGAGAGCAGAGCGCAAAGAUUUCUUCCGGACUCCCACAUUCCCCUUGGAAUCCAAGAACUGGUCUACUGUCACAACACUUUAGUACCCUCUUCUCCCAAGGAGGCAGCAGAAACUGGGGUAAUCACAACGGUCAACAGCAGCAAAGGCAGCACUUUCUGAUUUACUUGACUGCUAUGGAUGCCACCUCUCUCCACGCCUCAGUUUAAU